AACGAACGCUGGCGGCAGGCUUAACACAUGCAAGUCGAGCGCCCCGCAAGGGGAGCGGCAGACGGGUGAGUAACGCGUGGGAACAUACCCUUUCCUGCGGAAUAGCUCCGGGAAACUGGAAUUAAUACCGCAUACGCCCUACGGGGGAAAGAUUUAUCGGGGAAGGAUUGGCCCGCGUCGGAUUAGCUAGUUGGUGAGGUAAAGGCCCACCAAGGCGACGAUCCGUAGCUGGUCUGAGAGGAUGAUCAGCCACACUGGGACUGAGACACGGCCCAGACUCCUACGGGAGGCAGCAGUGGGGAAUAUUGGACGAUGGGCGCAAGCCUGAUCCAGCCAUGCCGCGUGAGUGAUGAAGGCCUUAGGGUUGUAAAGCUCUUUCACAGGUGAAGAUAAUGACGGUAACCUGAGAAGAAGCCCCGGCUAACUUCGUGCCAGCCGCCGCAGUAAAAC
rnacentral:rRNA from 1 species